rnacentral:lncRNA from 1 species
GCAAGAAAAGGAGGAAAAGAUCAUAAUCUAAUACACUACUAAGAGGGACUUUGUGUCUGUCUCAAGAUAAACGGCGGUAAUAACUUUAACUAUCCUGAGGUAGCGAAAUUUCUUGUUGCAUCAGUAAUGACCUGCACGAAUGAUUUAUGUGUCAUUUUUUGAAUAUCGAAAUUCAAACAAGUUUUUCUUUGACCCUAAUUUUUUCAUAUGAUCUUUUGAAUAUUUUAAAAUGUCAAUGAUUGAGAUUUAUAAUACUUUGUACAUAAUUUGUUCCAUUUUUUAUUUUUUUUAUGUGCAGGAUAUUUUAGCUAUUUAAUGCUAAAAUGGUAACAAAGAUUUGGGAUAUAAAUUAUAAUCAAUCUUUGGCUAAAAAUCAGCAUGUAUAUUCUAAUGUUAUUAUAUUUCCCCUUUAUAUAUAUUCUCCCCUUUUCCUCAAGACAGCCUUUUUAUUAUUAAAUAGUGCAACAUUAACCCGCCUUUUCUUCAAACAAAAAGAACCUUAAAAUGGUUGAUUUACCCAAUGAAAUCACUAUGAUUAUUCUGUCAAAUUUACCAGUGAAAUCCCUGUUAUGCUUCAAGUGUGUUUCUAAGUUAUGGUGUUCUUGGAUUUCAUGUCCAAAAUUUGAGUUCUCCAAUCAACAUCGACAAGGAGCAAUCAUCACGGUGUAUCCUCAUCCAUAUUCAUCAACAAAACGUAUAUGCAGACCUUCCUUCCGAUUCAUAAAUCAACAACUCACUUUGGAAGAACCUAAUUAUUGUUCAAGUGAUUAUGAGGAUAAUCAUAUAGUAAGUUGUAUGAUUUUGGGUUCUUGUCAUGGUCUUAUUCUGUUUAAUCUAAAUGAGCACAUUCACUUGUGGAAUCCUGCCACUCGAUUUCGCACCAAGGUGCUUGAGAAUGUAAACUUUCUAGGUGGUUAUAUUACACAUGGUGGACUUUGUUAUGACUCCUCCAAAAAUACUUAACAAAGUCGUGCUGAUUAUGCGCUAUAUGACCUCAGAUGGUGAUCGGUUUGUCACGAUUGCUAGUCUUGAAGACAAACAUUGGAGGCGACUCAAAUUCCCUUAUGAUAUCCACACAGUGAAUUAUUAUGGGAUUACAUUGCAUGGACGACUUCACUAUUAUGUACCUGAUGUGAAGAAUGUAGAAGAUGAUAAUGAUGAGAACAGUGACGAAGAUGAUGGGAAUAACAAGGGUAUAUGGGAUCGAUUAUCUGAUUCUCCUAGAAAAUUAAUUUAUCUUGAUCCCAUCACUGAAAAACUUCAUAUGUUUCCAAUGCCAGAGCCUAAAAAUAAUCAACAAGAGAAUAUUAUAGUUGGUUUAGGAGUUUUAAAUGAAUGUCUUUGUAUGAGUCGGUUGGAUGAUGAUAAGAGUGGUGUUGAAAUAUUAGUCAUGAAGGAAUAUGGAGUAAAGGAAUCAUGGACAUCCUUAUUUUUAAUAAGGAACUUAAAAAUAAAUUCUUCUUAUGGAGAUGUGGUGCCAUUUUUCGUGACAGAGGCUGGAGAAGUAGCUUUGAUAACAGAGUACAAUCAUCAAAAAAAAGUUGUUGUAUUCAAUCCUAAGAAUGAUAAUAUGAGAGACAUUCUCAUUGUCAAGAUAGGGACGGAAUUUAUAUUUGGCCCAACAUUUACCUAUGUGGAAAGCUUGAUCUCGCCAAAGGAAUACUACUGGAGUGAGGAGCCGCGCAAAAUGUUUGAACACAGAUGUUUUUUGUAAAAAUGAUAUUGUUGACGAUUAACAUAAAUGGUUUUUGGAGUAAGGAAUUUGAGUUCCUUUGUUCUGUGCAUAAGAAAGGACCAUAUUUGCAGAUGAAAAUAGUACAAAAGAAUCUGCUUUCCUGAGUUUUCUACAAAUGGUUACUUCUUUUGUUCUUGUUGGUAAUUGACACAUCCAAGUUGUCUAGCAUUAGAGAACUCCUCAAAAGAAGAAAAACACAGAGUUGGUGGCAGCAAGUUUUGAUUUUAGAGAUCGUAUAUUUGUCUGACUCUCGGAAAAUCUCCUCAUAUCGAAUCAUAUGAUUUUUACAACAUAUUGUGAAAACACAUAUACAAAGAAACCAAAGCAAUAUAUUAAGAUACAGUGAAAACGCUGUUGAAUGAUGGAUAUGUAAAGGAUAAAUGUAGUUAAUUCCAACUAGGAUAGACAACUAGAAGUAUUUGUAUAUUGAUAACUCCUGUAUAGGCCUCUCUAUGUAUUCUAGUAAUGUUAGGAGACUUGGUUCCCCAAGGAACCUCUUGUAUAAAUAUUGCUUUCCACCUUCAGAGAUAUAUAUAGAAAAAACGUUUCUUUCAUGGUAUCAAAUCCCUAGUGGUUUAAACGACCCUCCGAUUUUUUUUUCUCCUGAAGACAACAACGUUCCCUUGAGAAUCCUGCAAUGGAAGAUGUCACUACUUUCUCACGCGUGUCAAGAACUACAGUUGCUGCGUCGACCACCCCGACUUAUUCCCCAACUCCUAACCUUGCUCAUCAAUUACCCGUGAAGCUUACGUUGUUAAACUUCUAGCUAUGGAAGACACAGUUUCUUCCAAUGCUUUGUGGGUAUGGUCUUAACCAUCAUAUUGAUGGUAGUGAACCUAUUCCAGAUAAACUUAUAGCAGACGAUCAACUUAAUCCAGCCUAUAAGGCAUGGGUUCAUGAGGACCAACUUGUUUUAAGUUGGAUUGUCGCAUCAAUAUCCGAGAAUGUGCUGCCACAAUUAGUUGGUGUUGAAACUGCCCGUGCAGCAUGGAACAAAUUGGUUGCAGCCUAUGCAACCAGAUUCAAACCAUAAAUUCGUGAGCUCAAAGCACAGCUACACACUUUAAGCCGUGACAAUGCAAGCAGUGAGACUUACGUCCAAAAGGCAAAAGGAAUUGCUGAUAGGUUGGCUGAUUUGCAGCAUCCCAUCGAUGAUGACGAUCUUAUCGAAUUUGUUCUUGCGGGUUUAGGUCCUGCAUAUCGCCCGUUUACCAGAGCACUUGAGGCACGUCAAGAAGAUGUCACCUUUGAUGCUUUAUAUGGCAUGUUGUUGUCCGAAGAAAGAUAACUGAAAAGGUAUGAAGCCCUUAAUGUGAUUGCUCCUUAAGCUCAAUAUACUCAAAGCUUUAUUCCCAGCACACGUGGUCGUGGUAGAGGUAGAAAUGGUCGAGGUUGUGGCCGUUCUGCUAAUCAGGGAUUAUGUGACACUCUUUGUCUUACUUCUGAAAAGAUUCUGUGAAAACAUCUGAAAUCUGUGACACUCUUUGUCUUACUUCUGUGCUAGGUGGUGUACCCUACAAUCUGUAAUCCCACGGGCUUUAUGGGAUCUUCCAUUAACUCGGCAGCCAAGACCCCUACCCAAGUAUGCCACAAGGGUUGGAGUCUCUGAAUCUACUAGCCACAUGGCCGUCGCCAGUGUACAAUAAUAAUCUACCCGUAUUGGCAAAUACGAUUUCAGGCUAAGAUUUACUUGAACUCAUGCCUUCUUCGGGUAACCACCUAACCUUCUUUAUGCCCAUUUUCAGUUCUUUAAUCAUGCAUGCUCUGAAAACAUACUCUGAAAAUAUACUCUGAAAACAUAUUUUAUUAUGGCAUACAUAAUUAUGGUAUCUUCAUACCAUUGACUUGCAAGUCACAUCUCUGAGCCAUUGUUAUUUUAUUAUAACUUUGUUUUCAAAACAUAAAGUUUAGGACCACCAUAUCAUAAAUCAGUUCGAAGAAUCCUUUCUUUAAAUACUCAUGUAAACACAUGUAUGCAACUCUCUUUGACAACAUUUCAAUGAUACGAGGUGGUCAUGUAAAAAUUUCUUAAUCUUAUGCAAAUCUUUCUCUCUUUAAUAAAACACAUUUAUGUCAAGAAACUCACUCUCAAAAUCUCUAAAUCAUGCUCAAAAUACUNNNN